rnacentral:rRNA from 1 species
GUGGAUUAGAUACCCCGGUAGUCCACGCUGUAAACGAUGAGUGCUAGUUGUUGGGGGUUUACCUCUCAGUGACGAAGUUAACGCGAUAAGCACUCCGCCUGGGGAGUACGGCCGCAAGGUUAAAACUCAAAGGAAUUGACGGGGGCCCGCACAAGCGGUGGAGCAUGUGGUUUAAUUCGACGCAACGCGAAGAACCUUACCAACCCUUGACAUGUGUAUCGCGGAGACCAGAAACGGUUUCCUUCAGUUCGGCUGGAUACAACACAGGUGCUGCACGGCUGUCGACAGCU